rnacentral:rRNA from 1 species
CGGCGGACGGGUGAGUAACGCGUGGGUAACCUGCCUUAUACAGGGGGAUAACAGUUAGAAAUGACUGCUAAUACCGCAUAAGCGCACAGUACCGCAUGGUACAGUGUGAAAAACUCCGGUGGUAUAAGAUGGACCCGCGUCUGAUUAGCCAGUUGGCGGGGUAACGGCUCACCAAAGCGACGAUCAGUAGCCGACCUGAGAGGGUGACCGGCCACAUUGGGACUAAGACACGGCCCAAACUCCUACGGAAGGCAGCAG